rnacentral:misc_RNA from 1 species
GUAUAUACUGUGGCUUAUCAUAAAAAUCAACAUUUCUGUGCACUAUUUUGAAUCUUGUUACAUUUGCAUCACAUUCAGCUUCAAUUCUUCAUACCCAGCAAAUGAAAAGCUUUUUUACUUAAACUUGCAGAGGUAAUAGGUCUUACAAACCCAAUCCUCGACUUGCUCGUGUGCUCGAUAUUCUUUUCAUAUUACAUGCAGAACAUGAGAUGAAUUGCUCUACAGCUGCGGCACGUCAUCUUGCUUCAAGUGGGGUUGAUGUAUACACAGCAAUAGCAGGAGCUGUGGGAGCUUUGUAUGGCCCUCUCCAUGGGGGUGCCAAUGAGGCUGUGCUGAAAAUGCUCAGUGAGAUUGGAAGUGUUGAAAAUAUUCCAGAGUUCCUUGAGGGUGUCAAGAACAGGAAACGAAAGAUGUCUGGUUUUGGGCACCGUGUCUACAAAAACUAUGAUCCCAGAGCA